rnacentral:rRNA from 1 species
AACGAACGCUGGCGGCAUGCCUAAUACAUGCAAGUCGAACGAUCACUUCGGUGGUAGUGGCGCACGGGUGCGUAACGCGUGGGAAUCUGCCCCCGGGUUCGGAAUAACGUCGGGAAACUGACGCUAAUACCGGAUGAUGACGUAAGUCCAAAGACUUAUCGCCCAGGGAUGAGCCCGCGGAGGAUUAGCUAGUUGGUGGGGUAAAGACCUACCAAGGCGACGAUCCUUAGCUGGUCUGAGAGGAUGAUCAGCCCCACUGGGACUGAGACACGGCCCAGACUCCCACGGGAGGCAGCAGUAGGCAAUAUUGGACAAUGGGGGCAACCCUGAUCCAGCAAAGCCGCGUGAGUGAUGAAGGCCAUAGGGUUGUAAAGCUCUUUUACCCUGGAUGAUAAUGACAGUACCGGGAGAAUAAGCCCCGGCUAACUCCGUGCCAGCAGCCGCAGUAA